rnacentral:rRNA from 1 species
AUACGGAGGGAGCAAGCGUUAUUCGGAAUCACUGGGCGUAAAGGACGCGUAGGCGGGUUUGUAAGUCAGGUAUGAAAUCCUACAGCUCAACUGUAGAACUGCACUUGAAACUACAGACCUAGAGUAUGGAAGGGGCAGAUGGAAUUAGUGGUGUAGGGGUAAAAUCCGUAGAUAUCACUAGGAAUACCGAAAGCGAAGGCGAUCUGCUGGGACAUUACUGACGCUGAGGCGUGAAAGCGUGGGGAGCAAACAGAAUUAGAUACCCCAGUAGUCC